GAGUGUAUUUGAGCAUGUAAGUAAAAAAACAAUUAUUAUAUUUAAUAUUCUUUGUUACUUUAUUUUGAAUCUUUUCAAUUUUAAGUUUAACUUAUUUGUUACUAUAAAAUUAAUGGUAGCUUCAUAGUAAAAAAAGAAAUCGGCUAUUCUAAGAACUCUUGGACAAACUGAUUUAUGUGAAGUACAAUAUAGCGUUGCUAUGCCAUUAUACCUUUGGGGAUAUCACCAUGUCAAUUGAUUUAACAAAUAUUAAUGAAAGUAAAGAGAGGUUGCUUGGUGAAUCAGAAAAGGGAGAUUGGGAUGAUGAUGAUAAUACUCUUGCUUUCAUGAAUAAUGUGUUGACUUGGGGUGAUGUUGGUAGGGCGGCUGGAGUUUCUGAAUCUCGUUAUUAAUCGAGAUCG
rnacentral:misc_RNA from 1 species